rnacentral:rRNA from 1 species
ACUACGGGAGGCAGCAGUGAGGAAUAUUGGUCAAUGGGCGGAAGCCUGAACCAGCCAAGUAGCGUGCAGGAUGACGGCCCUACGGGUUGUAAACUGCUUUUAUACGGGAAUAACGCGCCUUACGUGUAGGGCUUUGCAUGUACCGUAUGAAUAAGGACCGGCUAAUUCCGGGCCAGCAGCCGCGGUAAUACGGAAGGUCCGGGCGUUAUCCGGAUUUAUUGGGUUUAAAGGGAGCGUAGGCCGCAUGUCAAGCGUGCUGUGAAAUGUCCGGGCUCAACCCGGGCCUUGCAGCGCGAACUGGCGUGCUUGAGUCCGCGGAAAGCAGGCGGAAUUCGUCGUGUAGCGGUGAAAUGCUUAGAUAUGACGAAGAACCCCGAUUGCGAAGGCAGCUUGCUGCAGCGGAACUGACGCUGAUGCUCGAAAGCGCGGGUAUCGAACAGGAUUAGAUACCCCAGUAGUC